rnacentral:sRNA from 1 species
CCGGGAGGUGCUGACACUGCAGUUGGGACAUUUUGCCGGUUUCGUGGGCGCGCACUGGUGGAACCAGCAGGAUGCUGCGCUGGGCCGAGCGACCGAUUCCAAGGAGCCCCCGGGAGAGCUGUGCCCCGACGUCCUGUAUCGUACGGGCCGGACGCUGCACGGCCAGGAGACCUACACGCCGCGACUCAUCCUCAUGGAUCUGAAGGGUAGUUUGAGCUCCCUAAAAGAGGAAGGUGGACUCUACAGGGACAAACAGUUGGAUGCUGCAAUAGCAUGGCAGGGGAAACUCACCACACACAAAGAGGAACUCUAUCCCAAGAACCCUUAUCUCCAAGACUUUCUGAGUGCAGAGAGGCCAGCAUCAGGGUCUGGUCAGACUUCCUCAGAGUCCAUCUCCAUCCCCGGAGCAUCUGUAUGAUUCAGAAGUACAACCACGAUGGGACAAGAGGCUGAGGAGUUGAGGGAAGAGAUGUAAGUCUUGGAUCGUGUUUACUUGUGGCAGGGAAGCAGGUCGGCUGGAGGCUUUUGGCCAAGGGGAAAGUGUCCUAAAGGAACCCAAGUACCAGGAAGAGCUGGAGGACAGGCUGCACUUCUACGUGGAGGAAUGUGACUACUUGCAGGGCUUCCAGAUCCUGUGUGACCUGCACGAUGGCUUCUCUGGGGUAGGCGCGAAGGCGGCAGAGCUGCUACAAGAUGAAUAUUCAGGGCGGGGAAUAAUAACUUGGGGCCUGCUACCUGGUCCCUACCAUCGUGGGGUGAGUGGAACUUAGAGAAGUAAACA